GGGGGUAUAGCUCAGUGGUAGGUUGUGUGCUUAGCAUGAGGGAGGUCCUGGGUUCAAUCCCCAGUACCUCCA
rfam:Camelus ferus unplaced genomic scaffold scaffold1212, whole genome shotgun sequence.